UUUGUAGUUUAGAGGUAAAACGUCAGGUUCACAACCUGAAGUCGAUGGUUCGAAUCCAUCUUAACCCA
rnacentral:tRNA from 1 species